rnacentral:lncRNA from 1 species
CUGUUCUCCAUGACUCAAAGGGAAGUCUCAGAAAGUCUGCUCCUCUUUUUAACAUACAGCUAUAUUUUUCUUAUAUAAAGACACAAUUUUUAUACUACUGAUGUUUUGUUUUAUUUUAUUUUAUUUAUUAUCAUGAUUUUGCUUUUUAGGGCCACAUCCCCAGCAUAUGGGGGUUCCCAGGCUAGGGGCUGAAUCUGCGCUACAGCGGCCAAGCCUACGCCGCAGCCAUAGCAACUCAGGAUCUGAGCCGCAUCUGAAACCUACACCACAGCUCACAGAAACGCCGGAUCUGUAACCCACUGAGCAAGGCGAGGGAUCAAACCCACAUCCUCAUGGAUCCUUGUAGGGUUCGUUAACUGCUGAGCCACAAAGGAAACUCCAUGCUGGUGUUAUAAGUUUCUGUGUAUAAGAUUUUAUAACAUCAUAAAUGCCCACUGUUAGCUUGGUUAAAAUCUAUUCUGUGGAUUGGUCAGGGUUUGGCUGGUUGUAUUUUUCAAAAUCAAAACCCCUUUGGGGAGUUCUCUUGUGGCACAGUGGGUUAAGGAUCUGGCAUUGCCACUCUAGCAGCUUGGGUCACUGCUAAUGGCUUGGGUUCAAUCCCUGGCCCAGGAACUUCCACAUGCUGGGAGGGUGGCCAAAAAAUCCUCACUAAAACUCUUUGGAAGUUAACUAAUAGCUUUUUACUUGGUGGGUUUUUUUCCCCUUGGAUGCUCAAAAACCUGCCUUCAACACUUAGAGGUGCCACUGCAGCAACAUUAGUGGAAAUUGGGUGCUGGCCGCAACAUCUAAUACUCUGUUUUGCCCAUGUGUUCAGAGCACCAGCUACCUAAAACUAUAGUCUAAUGUUAGAAGCACAGUGACUACUGAAAUACUGCUGGUGGCAACAACCCGCUUUCCUGAAAGGCCAGAUAGGUUUAGCAACCUCCCUGGUGUAUUUUGUUACAUCCAAGUUGGAAAUAGAUGCCCGAAUGCUCAACCUCAGGCAGCAGGUAUUAGUGCAGAUGCCUACUUCAUGCUCCAUACUGUGUAAUGCCCAGCGGAUUACGGGCAAAGGAAAAAGACCCGCAUCCCUGAGCAACACCCGUUGAAACAAUGUACUUAAGCUGUAAAAGCUCUGCAGUUGGGAGUCCACAGUGUAAUCCUUUCAAAUAGAUGAAAUGCUGAAUAACAUUGACGUGAAAUCAUGGGCAGUGGGCAAAGCAUAACGUACCCAGGCUUCUGGGCACACUGAGGGCAUGAACAUAGGCAUUUGGCUUUUCCUAUCUUGUUGAAUGAAAGAUUCACAGCAUAAUAAAGAUUUUCAAAAUAGGUAUCUCUGAAGUAUGGAUGUAUUCUCAGGGCUUCACGUAUCUCUUCGGGAAUUUUCAGAGUGUGUUUUUAUUUUAAAGAUAAUAGUUAAUAAUUCAUCUAACUGUACUCUGCGGUCAUCUCAGGCAAUGUUUAUGAAACUGUGGCUGUAACUCCCCUAGUAGACUCGUUAAUGGGUGAAGUUGGGCAUUGAUUUCAAUCGAGUGAAUGGAAAAUAGCAGGAUGUAAGAGUCAGGUAUUGUUUUGAAAAAUGUUUGUUUCUGUUUUGUAUGUAUGUGGGAAGGGGGCCUGGGUCCUGAUGGGAACUGGGUUUAUUACUGUGGGCAGAUGUCCAAAGAGCUUGAAAGCCGUUAAUCACAGGUCACUGGUUCUCAAGCCUCACUGCACUUUAGAGUCACCCAAUGGGAUUUGAAAAUUAAGGCUGCAUGGGUCCCACCCCCAGAAAUUCUGCUGGAAUGGAUUUGAGGUGUGGGGCUUGCUUAAAACUUCUCAACGAUGUCGCUGGGGGUGUGAACCCAUGAAAAGUUGAGCCUUGUAGCCAAGUCUUGCCGGGUAACUUCAGUCCUGCCUCUGGUUUGUGUUUCUUUGGUUUGCCUGGAGGGCCAAGUUGUCCUGCAGAUUGGAAUUGGAAUUGUCAGAGGGUUUGAGGAGGAAGCAGGCGGGUUGAGGCCAUAGAUAAUGCUUUGCCCUAGGGAAAGGCAGGUGCAGUCCAGUGGGGCGAAUGGAUGAAAGUUCCCAGUGGAUCCUGUGGAGACAACGUGAAGAGAGAAUGCAGAGGGUGGAAGAGAGGAAUCAUGUCAAUUGUGUGAGCAAUUCCACUGGCCCUUCCCCUCAGAGUUGGCACAGUAGGGGGCGCCAGAGUCUGCAGUCUGUGAGUAGAUGCCUCUCCUUCCGGAGAGCCUCCCUAGCAAUUUACCUUUAAGGGUGACUCCUGGCUGAUUUUCUUGCAUUAGCCCUUCCCCUCCCAGAAGAUGCAACUCCACUCUAUUCCUAUGACAAGGGAUGGAUGGGUUUAGCAAAACAACAUCAUCCCUUACAUUACAUUUAAUCUGGUUACUUCUAGUCAUAUUGGUUUACAUUCUUGUUCUUACAGACUUUAUAAUUGCGGCUUGUUGUGUAAUGAUACAAGAUAAUGAGAACAGGGUAUUUACACCGUUAUUUUAUUUGUCCGUAUUUAUUUAUUUAUUUAUUGUUGUCUUUUUGCCUUUUCUAGGACCCCUAGCCUGGGAACUUCCAUAUGCCCUGGGAGCGGCCCUAGAAAUGGCAAAAAGACAAAAAAAAAAAAAAAAAAAAAGGAUGAGACCAUCUUUUUAUACUGAUGUGGGGACUGUACAUAAGACAUCCUGAGAAUGGAACAAGCAAAGUGCAGGAUGACACACAAACAUUUAUUUAGAAAAGAAAUGCGCAUGAAAGAGAGGAAGAGAGAGAGAGAUUGAGAUUGGAUGCUUGAAUGCACAGAAAUUGUUCUGGAAAAAUAUCCUCCCAAGUUCUGAGAGUGUCCACCUCUGCCAAGAUUGUAGACUUCAGGCAUGAGUGGUGAUGGCCAAAGGAAACUUGAGCUUUGAUCUAAUAUUUGUGCUUUGUUUUCUGUUUGUUUGUAAGCAGGAUGACUGCAGGCAGGUACGUAGGUAAUUCUGAAAAGGUUAGGGUGUUG